AGAGUUUGAUCCUGGCUCAGGAUGAACGCUAGCGGCAGGCCUAACACAUGCAAGUCGAACGGCAGCACAGGAGAGCUUGCUCUCUGGGUGGCGAGUGGCGGACGGGUGAGGAAUACAUCGGAAUCUACCUUUUCGUGGGGGAUAACGUAGGGAAACUUACGCUAAUACCGCAUAUGCCCUAAGGGGGAAAGCGGGGGAUUCGCAAGAACCUCGCGUUUUCGGAGCGGCCGAUAUCGGAUUAGCUAGUAGGUGAGGUAAAGGCUCACCUAGGCGACGAUCCGUAGCUGGUCUGAGAGGACGACCAGCCACACUGGAACUGAGACACGGUCCAGACUCCUACGGGAGGCAGCAGUGGGGAAUUUUGGACAAUGGGCGCAAGCCUGAUCCAGCCAUGCCGCGUGAGUGAAGAAGGCCUUCGGGUUGUAAAGCUCUUUCAGCCGGAAAGAAAACGCGCAGGUUAAUAACCUGUGCGGAUGACGGUACCGGAAGAAGAAGCACCGGCUAACUACGUGCCAGCAGCCGCGGUAAUA
rnacentral:rRNA from 1 species